ACAGGAUACUCCCCCUCACCUACAGAACGUAGACAGCAGAAGGUCAGGCAGAAGAGGGGCAGGCCUGUCCCCUUAAGGCCAAAACGCUGAGGGCUCACACCUGCUGACAAACCUGCUCCUUAAAAGCCAAACCUUGGCUUCAGCUUGUUGCUGACUACAAUGUCAGGUGUGACCACUGAACCUUGACUUGGACUGAUCUCUCGGCAAACUAGACUCUUCUGGAUUUCUGGCUUGGCACAGGACAGGAUUCCAACUAAUUCAAGAGCCAAUCAUGGCACAGCACUACGCAUAUAGAAGACCAACAGCGCGACAUAGAUGUCAAGAGCCAUGAUCUAAAAGUCACGCUUUAAAUGCAGUUCUCAUCUAUUAAGUACAAUCUACGUAAUGCUGUUUAGAAUCAUAGAGUCAUAGAGUUGGAAGGGGCCUUGUAGGCCAUCGAGUCCAACCCCCUGCUCACAGCAGGAAAUCCACAGCUAGAGCAUCUCCCACAGAUAGCCUCUGCUUGAAGACAUCCAGCGAAGGGGAUCCCACCACCUCCCUAGGCAGUCGGUUCCAUUGCCGAACUGCCCUUACUGUCAAGAAGUUCCUUCUAAUGUCCAAUCUGAAUCUACGCUCCUGCAACUUAAAACCAUUAGACCUAGUCCUACCCUCUGGGGCAGCAGAGAACAAAUCUGUACCCUCCUCUAUGUGACUAUGUGACUAUGUAUGCCCUUCAGGUACUUAAAGAGUGCAAUCAUGUCACCCCUCAAUCUUCUCUUCACCAGACUGAACAUGCCAAGUUCCUUCAACCUUUCCUCAUAAGACUUGUUCUCCAUACCGGCUAUCAUCCUCGUCGCCCUCUUCUAAACCCGCUCUAAUUUGUCUAUAUCUUUCUUAAAAUGAGGCGCCCAGAACUGAACGCAGUAUUCCAGAUGAGGCCUGACUAAUGCAGAAUAUAGUGGGACUAUUCUCUGAUUAUUUCAAUGAGGUUUGUGCAAGAAGCACAGCCUUAUCAACAUGAGUUAAUACUGCAUAUCAGCACUGCUUAGGUAGAUUGCACCCUUCAUUGGUAAUUUAUCUAUCCUGUUAUAUCUUUGUAGCUUUCAUUCAAAUCUGUUUGUGCUGGCAGCACAAGAAUAUGAUUUGUACACAGAAAAGGCAUUUGUUCACACUCUCCGCUUUCACUUUGCUUAAAAAUAUAUUUUUUAAAUUUAUUAAUACUGACAGCAUGUUUAAACUAUGCAUAUUUUGCAGGCAAUAUUAAAACACGCUUAUGCAUAUAAAUAGAUUUGGAAUCUAAAUGUACAGUAAGCUUUGACUGUAAAUAUUGUUGAUCCUUAACAGAAAAAUAAUGGGUUCCCCUCCCCCCAUCAAAGUCUUGAAUUGAGCAAACACAUUUCAAUGUUCUGACAGGAGAUAUAUUUUUAAAAAAGUAGUAUAAUCAUGUAAUAUAAUCUUAGAACUGAUUUGCAGUUCUACUUUGAUUAAUUUUAAUAGUUAUUUUUAUUAUGUAUUGAAAAUUAUUUCUCACAUGCAGUCAAGCAUUCACACGGGACACCACAAGUCGUCUUCCCCUCCCUUUCUCUCUCUUGACACAGUAGAAUUGAGAAUAUUAGGGAGGAUGGUAAAAUUAUUUCAAGAUGUAUAUCAAUCUUGUAUUUAAAUGCUCACUUGGUCACCUUUGGUGACCAGGAAUUCCAGAUAGGUGAGUGAAAUUUCUUCCAGGCGAGUGAGUGGGCUGGAAAGGAAGGGUGGUGCUUUUACAGCCCAUAAGAGAGAGAUUCUAGUUCCUGAGGCUUGUGCUUGUACUGAUAGAGCAAGCAAUAAAGAGGUACUGCUGCAACCCACCUGGUAUGGACUGACUGAGCAGUUCGCCAGCUGAGACAUAACAGAUGUCUUUUGAGACAUAACAGAAAUGUAUUAUAAAAGCAGCAUUUCAAGUGUAAAAUCUGAUUUUAAGUGUUGGGGUAUCAUCAUUGCUUGGGGGGCUGGGGGGAUGUGAGAUUCUGUUAUGCCAUUCUGUUAAUCUUAUGGAUAAAAAAAUUAUUC